UACUCUGCUAACUGAUUGGUCUACGGUGUUCGAGUGCAUUUUAAAGCGUCUACAGAGGAGCAGGGUGUGGGGGUCUCCUGCUGAGAAAAGCGAGCAAGCUUUGGGUUCUCUCAGAAGUACUGACAAGGACCAUGUUGUGAGAUGGUAAUGACAACCUCAACCAGAGAGAGCAUCGUGGGAAAGAUUUCCACCAAGCAUCAAGAGACAGAGGGACCUCUGAAAGCAAAUGUGCAGAAUCUUCCCAGAACUACAUUUUGCAGAAGGCUGACACUCAUGGCCCACAGAGGAUAAUAAUCAUGGUCUCACAGCACCACAGAACCUUAGCACAAUCCCUACCAUCAGGACGUGUGUGUCUGGUGGUGGCCGAGCUAGGAAAGGUCCAGAUCCAACUGCUCUUUAGAAGACUUGAACCUGACUCCAGUCUGAAGUUUUAGUUCUCCAUCAUGAGCAAAACCAAGAAAUACAGAAUAAAAUGGAUUUGAUCCCUGAAGCCAAGUGACCUCAACUGCCUAGAGAGUUGUUUCUGUGAGACUCCUGUGUCUGAGCUUGGAGGCUUUGCAAAAGGAUUAAAUACUCUCCUUUUUAAAAUCCUGGGUUUAAAAUUUUAAACCAAGGCACCCACUUUGGUAGAGCUUUAGAUGACGAGCAUGGGCUUCUCUCCUCAACACAAAGUCUCGUGUGAUGUGACCCUAGUCUUGGCCACGCAUCCCUGCAUCCAGACUGCUCUGUACAGUCAUGCCUGAGUCACCGCUUCUUGACAGCCAGAGCUCUGAGGACCUCGUGAAAGGCCCUGUGGGAACCAGAAAUUCAGUACACUCAAAGGAGUUGAAGAUGUUUACAACGUGAAUCAGCAAUUAAUAGCACCUUUUCCCCCCCUAAAAAGUCACAUCUUUCAUACAAGCACUACUAAUUAUGCUGUUUAGUUUUGUUUUUCUAAGGCGAAUGACAAGAAAAAUGUAUAACCAAGGGACUGGUUGACAGAAGUGAAGAAAUAUGAGACAACUAGA